rnacentral:rRNA from 1 species
GACGAACGCUGGCGGCGUGCUUAACACAUGCAAGUCGAACGGAAAGGCCCUGCUUUUGUGGGGUGCUCGAGUGGCGAACGGGUGAGUAACACGUGAGUAACCUGCCCUUGACUUUGGGAUAACUUCAGGAAACUGGGGCUAAUACCGGAUAGGAGCUCCUGCUGCAUGGUGGGGGUUGGAAAGUGUCGGCGGUUGGGGAUGGACUCGCGGCUUAUCAGCUUGUUUGUGGGGUAGUGGCUUACCAAGGCUUUGACGGGUAGCCGGCCUGAGAGGGUGACCGGCCACAUUGGGACUGAGAUACGGCCCAGACUCCUACGGGAGGCAGCAGUGGGGAAUAUUGCACAAUGGGCGGAAGCCUGAUGCAGCAACGCCGCGUGCGGGAUGACGGCCUUCGGGUUGUAAACCGCUUUCGCCUGUGACGAAGCGUGAGUGACGGUAAUGGGUAAAGAAGCACCGGCUAACUACGUG